CAUCGACGCAACGCCCCAAAAUCCGCCAGCAUAGAUUCCUCCAUUCAAGGAAACAAUAACGGCGUCUCUUCCAAGCUUCUUCAAAUCACGCAGAGCAGAGAUUGACCUCAAGUUUCAUUUCCCGGAACCCUAACUUUUCCUCUGUUCCUGUGGAUUUGUAUAAUGUUUGUACACCCGAACGUUUACAUGAGGCGAGGAAUAUUUGGGGAUCUCUUGCAUGUUAAUAGAUUAACAUGGGAAAAUAGAUAUUCCUCAUGUUGUCUCAGCGCCUUUGAUGUCACUGGGCUGAAAGCAUUUCGAUCGCUUGAGAAGAUACAGCGAAAAGGGUUACAAUAUGCAAACAUGUCUUCUCAAAUAGUGACUACAGUAAACAGUAGUAGCAUGCAAGAGCAAGAGAGUCAUUCACCGUACACAUACGAAGCUGCCAUGGAAGCACUUUCAUCUCUUAUAACACGUAAAAAACGUGAUCGAAAUUUAAAUACAGAUGCUAAAUACACAAAGCUGGAAAGAAUGUCCAUGUAUAUUCAGAUAUUAGGCAUAAAGGAACAGAUUGCUGACCUUAACAUUAUUCAUGUUGCUGGAACUAAAGGAAAGGGAUCGACAUGCACGUUUUGUGAAGCAAUUUUACGGGAAAGUGGGUUUAGAACGGGCCUAUUUACUUCUCCUCAUUUAAUUGAUGUAAAAGAAAGGUUCCGUCUCAACGGGUUGGAAAUAUCCGAAGAGCAGUUUUUACUGUAUUUUUGGGGUACUUGGAACCAGCUAAAGGACAAAGUCACGGAGGACCUGCCAAUGCCUCCACUAUUUCAGUUUCUCACUCUAUUGGGAUUGAAGAUAUUCGUAUCUGAGAAAGUCGAUGUUGCUAUUAUUGAAGUUGGUAUCGGAGGGAAAAAUGAUUCAACGAACGUGAUUCAAGAUCCUGUCGUGUGUGGCAUCGCUUCUCUUGGCUUUGAUCACAUGGAAAUUCUAGGAGACACUCUGGGCAAAAUCGCUUUGCAGAAAGCUGGGAUAUUUAAGCCUAAAGUUCCUGCAUUCACUGUACCUCAACUUCCGGAAGCAAUGGCUGUUCUUAAACAAAGGGCACAUGAAUUGGAGGUUCCAUUGCAAGUAGUAACACAACUUACUUACGAAAGGUUAAAUGGGGUAAAAUUAAGUCUAUCUGGUGAUCACCAGCUUGUGAAUGCUGGCCUUGCCGUUUCUCUUUGUAAAAGCUGGCUCAAUACCAAAGGAGAAUGGGAAAAGCUCUUCAAAAGGGAUAUUGCAGACGAUAGUCUACCAGAGGCGUUUUUACGUGGUCUUUCAACCGCACAUCUUUCUGGAAGGGCUCAAAUAGUUCACGACGUUUCUUUGGGUUUAAACAAUAAUCAAAUAAAAACCGAUGAAAGUUGUCACGGAGAGUUAAUCUUCUACUUGGAUGGAGCUCAUAGCCCCGAAAGCAUGGAUGCUUGUGCCAAAUGGUUUUCUAAUGUAGUCAACGAAAAGGUUCAUAGACCCGUGCCAUUAUUUUCUAAAGGUAGAAACAUUAACGAGUCUUAUAGCGGCAAUGGUUACAUUCAACAACCAAAUGAAAAAGAAGAAUCUAAAACAAUAUCCAAAAGGAUUCUUUUAUUUAAUUGCAUGGAUGUGAGAGAGCCAGAAAUUAUUCUUCCAAGACUUGUGGAUAUAUGUUCUUCAUCAGUUUGGAGUUGUAGUAGCCACGGGUUGUGCACAUACAUUAAAAAGAAGGGCAUUUUGGUCUUUUGCAACCGUCUUAAAUAUAUAUCUAUAUAUCUAUAUAUAUAUAGAUAUAGAUAAAGUGUAUCGUACAAUUGGCCUUAACGUACAUUACGUACGCGAUUAGAAAUCGCACGUUAUAAAAAAAGCGCGUGGUGAAGAUGAUGAAAUCGCAUGUUGGUGAACAUGAUGAAAUCGCAUGGGAGCAUGAAAAAAACUAAUUCGCACGUUGAUGUUUUAUCAGAAAUCGCAUGUUGGUGAACAUGAUGAAAUCGCAUGGGAGGAUGAAAAAACAAAUUCGCACGUUGAAAAACAAUCACAUACGCAAUGUUCUAGUUUCUCGAAAGCGAUUUUUGUGCCAAGUAUCUCAACAUAUAGCAAGGUUACUUCUGGUAAUUCAGACAUCCCUAUAAACACCCCUUCAAAGGAUCUAGCAUGGCAGUUCAACCUCCAAAGGGUGUGGGAAAGAAUUAUUCAUAGAAAAGACAUCGGAGGAAUAAACAAGAAUUCAAAAAUGGAAGUUAUGCCGCCAACCGAGUUCCUGUAUGAUGAUAUUUCUCACUGCAAUCCAGAAAAUGGAAAGUUUAGUUGCAGCGCGGUGUUCCCGUCGUUACCUAUGGCGGUUUCUUUUUUAAGAAAGUCUGCGCGUGACAACCCUUCACUUAGGCUUCAGGUUCUUGUGACUGGAUCAUUGCAUCUUGUUGGUGAUGUCUUGAAGCUACUGAGGAGGUAACACACAAUGCAAUAAAUCAGCUGGUAAUCUGAAACAAUGGUACAUGAACACCAUUUGGCAACCCUAAGGUUUUUGAACUUCUGUCUUAAAAGUCAUGCAUGAUACAGUUAAAGUCGAACAAGACCAACAUGUUGGUUGGAGUUUUCUGUUGUGUUGCUGAAAGUUGAAAAGUUCUUUUUGCAGACAAGUGAAGAAAUUCUUUUUUAUUUUUA